rnacentral:ribozyme from 11 species
CACUACAGGAAGGAAGGAAUAGAGACAGCGAGAACGAAGUCAUGCCAUCAUGCGCUUUGCACAAAUUGGGUUGCCCUUUCUUGUAUUUUCAUAACCUUUUCUCUCUCUCUCUUUUACUUCCUUCUUUUUUU